AUUGAACGCUGGCGGAAUGCUUUACACAUGCAAGUCGAACGGCAGCACGGACUUCGGUCUGGUGGCGAGUGGCGAACGGGUGAGUAAUACAUCGGAACGUGCCCAGUCGUGGGGGAUAACGUAGCGAAAGCUACGCUAAUACCGCAGACGAUCUAAGGAUGAAAGCGGGGGAUCGCAAGACCUCGCGCGAUUGGAGCGGCCGAUGGCAGAUUAGGUAGUUGGUAGGGUAAAGGGCUACCAAGCCGACGAUCUGUAGCUGGUCUGAGGGGAUGAUCAUGCACACUGGGACUGAGACACGGCCCGGACUCUUACAGGAGGCAGCAGUGGGGAAUUUUGAACGAUGGGCGCAAGCCUGAUCCAGCAAUUCCGCGUGAAGGAUGAAAGCAUUCGGGUUGUAAACUGCUUUUGUACAGAACUAAAAGGCUCUGGUUAAUACCCGGGGCUCAUGACGGUACUGUAAGAAUAAGCACCGGCUAACUACGUGCCAGCAGCCGCCGUAA
rnacentral:rRNA from 1 species